UCCUAGCCCAGAUAGAAGUGGAAAUCCUUUUUCUGGCUUCUUUAGCCAGAAAAAGAUUGAAAUGGAUUGCUUCGCCAGUU
rnacentral:sRNA from 2 species